rnacentral:rRNA from 1 species
UAGAGUAAUGCGUGACCAACCUGCCCCACUGCUCCAGAAUAGCUCUUGGAAACGGGUGGUAAUGCUGGAUGCUCCAACUUGACGCAUGUCUUGUUGGGAAGUGUUUAGUGGCAUGGGAUGGGGUCGCGUCCUAUCAGCUUGUAGGCGGGGUAAUGGCCCACCUAGGCUUCGACGGGUAGCCGGCCUGAGAGGGCGGACGGCCACAUUGGGACUGAGAUACGGCCCAGACUCCUACGGGAGGCAGCAGC